GGUGAGUGUGGCUCAGUGGGAAGAGUAGCAGUCUUGCAAUCUGAAAGUUGUGGGUUUGAUUCCAGCUUCCUCCU